CAUAUUUAGAUGCUCUGAUUGUACAAGGUAGGUGAGGCAUGAACAAAGGCACAUCCAGAGGGUGAUGCUCAACCUCUCUCCAGAUGAGAAGCUCAAAUCAGCUUUUGCUUUUGUGGGGAAUCAAAAUUUAAUAUAUAAUCUAAAAUCCUCCCAGCUUAUGGAACUCAGGUCACAGGUCCUAGGAGAGAAGAUGAAACUUUCAUUUACCUUUACCCUAUACGUGGAGAGAUUCUGUGCAUAACCGCUUAAACCAACAGCUGGUAGAUUUUGAUGCAUUUAUAUCUGCUUACACAAGAUCAACUCCCACCAUAAACACUGAAUUCUGUUUAUAACAGAAGGGCAGGAUCCGCGGGUAGCAUCACCAGAGCGCUCCGGGCUCUUUUUUUCCCCCCUUUUCUCAGAGACUCCAGAGGAAUGUGCCUUUGUACCGCCUCACUAGCAUCCCUAAAUCAUGAUUAAUUUAAAGCCUUUUCUCUCCUUAGUUAGGCCUGACACAAGCAACCGCUUUUCUGUCACAUCGAUUUUUCUGUCCUUGCAGAUUCGAAGCCAGGGCUGAGUCCUCCUAACAGGGCGAGUUCUCUGACAAGGAAGUUUUGCAAGCAAAUUUACAGCUGGAGUCAAGCUCGUCAGUGAGGGCCAGAGGGGAACUGUCGCAAUCCACUGGGUGUUUGAAAAAUGCCUCUAACGUGUGUGGGCUAGAAUACAUUUUGUUUUUCUGUGGGCAUAUUCAUUUAACAAGGGCAGCCUUUGAGGACGAUCAAAAACUGUUUGUCAUUUUUCCAAAUCAUCUCUCUCUGCGGUGACCAUGACUUAAUCCUGAAGGAAAACAAGUCUUUUCCCUUCUGGUCUCUGUGCUCUUGAAGGACAUUUGGGCCUGAAGUCCCAGGACUUAAGGCUGAUCCCGGCACAGAUGAGGACAGGAAGAGUUCCUGGAUCCAGCCUUGCGUGAAGCUACUCUGCCCUUAAACUUUUCAGUAAGACAAAACAGUGUUUUUUGUUUGUUUGUUUGUUUUGUUUUUAAGUAGGAAGCAAUGGAGAUCUGCUGUUUGUUCCUCUCCUGUCUCUUUCUCUCUAGCUCUCAGACCUUUGCCUUUGCUCAUGUUUGCGAGUGCUUUGCUCCAUUGUAGUGACUCUCACGACGGAUCGUAAGUCUCAUUCUAGAUAUUGGAACAAUCUAAAGUUCGUGAGAUCUCCAACCCACGGGCUAGGGACCCUUGGGAGAUUGUGGAGUUGUAAGGUCAGCAUCUGAAAAUCCGUCCAUCCAUUUAUGUCUUCUUAAUCAAUGAAUACUAAAAGUGAAAUCAUUAGCAUGUGGGAAGAUAACACUUUUCGACAGCUCCAGGAGAAGACUGAGUAGGCAUUCAAUAGAUAUCAUCGAGCUACUACUAUAUAACUUGACAAGGUUAAGUGCCCUAUAUGAAGCAUUUAACACAUAUUAUGGCAUAGUAUUUAGACGGGACUAUUAUCCUUGUUGUUUUGACAUAGAAAAAUAAAUUUAUAUAUAUAUAUAUAUAUAUAUAUAUAUUCUUUAUUCACUAUUCAUUUAACACAUUUAUUUUUUAAACUAUUAUGUUCUCGAUGAC